rnacentral:rRNA from 1 species
GUGAGGAAUUUUCCGCAAUGGGCGAAAGCCUGACGGAGCAAUGCCGCGUGAAGGAUGAAGGCCUAUGGGUUGUAAACUUCUUUUCUCAGAAAAGAAUUAUGACGGUAUCUGAGGAAUAAGCAUCGGCUAACUCUGUGCCAGCAGCCGCGGUAAGACAGAGGAUGCAAGCGUUAUCCGGAAUGAUUGGGCGUAAAGCGUCUGUAGGUUGUUUAAAAAGUAUUCUGUCAAAGAUUAGGGCUUAACCCUAGAUAGGCAGAAUAAACUUUUAAGCUAGAGUUUGGUAGAGGCAGAGGGAAUUCCCGGUGGAGCGGUGAAAUGCGUAGAUAUCGGGAGGAACACCAAAGGCGAAGGCACUCUGCUGGGCCAAUACUGACACUGAGAGACGAAAGCGAGGGGAGCAAAUGGGAUUAGAAACCCGUGUAGUCC